UGGGGAAUUUUGCACAAUGGGGGAAACCCUGAUGCAGCGACGCCGCGUGAUUUAGAAGGCCUUCGGGUUGUAAAAAUCUUUUCUAUGGGAAGAAAAUGACAGUACCAUAGGAAUAAGGACCGGCUACUUACGUGCCAGCAGCCGCGGUAAUACGUAAGGUCCGAGCGUUGUCCGGAAUCAUUGGGCGUAAAGGGUACGUAGGCGGGUAAGCAAGUUAGAAGUGAAAUCCUAUAGCUCAACUAUAGUAAGCUUUUAAAACUGCUCAUCUUGAGGUAUGGAAGGGAGAGUGGAAUUCCUAGUGUAGCGGUGAAAUGCGCAGAUAUUAGGAGGAAUACCGGUGGCGAAGGCGACUUUCUGGCCAUAACCUGACGCUGAGGUACGAAAGCGUGGGUAGCAAACAGG
rnacentral:rRNA from 1 species